AGAGUUUGAUCCUGGCUCAGAUUGAACGCUGGCGGCAUGCCUUACACAUGCAAGUCGAACGGUAACAGGCCGCAAGGUGCUGACGAGUGGCGAACGGGUGAGUAAUGCAUCGGAACGUGCCCAGUAGUGGGGGAUAGCCCGGCGAAAACCGGAUUAAUACCGCAUACGACCUACGGGUGAAAGCGGGGGACCGAAAGGCCUCGCGCUAUUGGAGCGGCCGAUGUCAGAUUAGGUAGUUGGUGGGGUAAAGGCCUACCAAGCCUACGAUCUGUAGCUGGUCUGAGAGGACGACCAGCCACACUGGGACUGAGACACGGCCCAGACUCCUACGGGAGGCAGCAGUGGGGAAUUUUGGACAAUGGGCGCAAGCCUGAUCCAGCCAUGCCGCGUGCGGGAAGAAGGCCUUCGGGUUGUAAACCGCUUUUGUCAGGGAAGAAAUCUUCUGGGUUAAUACCUCGGGAGGAUGACGGUACCUGAAGAAUAAGCACCGGCUAACUACGUGCCAGCAGCCGCGGUAAU
rnacentral:rRNA from 1 species